ACGCAGGAGAGAGAGAGUGAGACAAAAACAUCAAUAGAAACCCUAAGUAUCUCCCACCGCCCUCUUCUCCGUCUUUCCGUCGCUCCUGCAUCCGCUCCGACGCCUCCUUCACCCUCCUCAACAACGCCUCCACCUGACCACCUCUUGCUUCCUCACUCAAUUGAUAGGCGAUGAUGACGACAGAGAUGGCGUACGCGGUGUUGUCCCCUUCGCGGACUACGGUGGUUUGACGGUGGUGUUCUCCUUUCGCUUAUCUGUCUUCUAAAUUCUUCACUGUCAAUUCUUUACUCUAGCUUCUAAGGUUCAUCAAUCUGGAUUUCAGUAUUAAUUUGUUUUUGUUUUUAAUUUCUUUUUGAUGCCUUAUAUUAUUUGAUUGCUUGCAUAAGCUUCACUGCUAGCAACCUACUUAUUGUGAAGUUAUGUGUGUGAUACUUGCUAGCCCAUUACAAUUUCUUUAAGAUUUUUAUAAUUUAUUGAAUAACACCAUACGAGGAGCUAUGUAUCUUUUAACUUAUAACAUGACAUACAUUUGAAAUUGGGUUUACAAAGUUUGACUUUGUGGCCAAUCUUGUAGAAAGUUUUCUCUAAUUUAGAACAAUGUAUAAGAAAGUGACAUUUUUUUAAUUCAUAUGGUUAACUUUUAUUUCUCAGAUUAAUGUUUAUCACCGCCCGGAAUUUGGUUCUUAUAAAAAGACUUUGGAUAUUUAAAUUUUGCCAUGAGAAGUAUUAAUAUGUAUUCCUUGAAUUACAAUAGAUAUACUUUAUAAUGUUUUAUUGUUUAUUGAUUUUCGUUGUGAUAUAAAAGCGGCAAUAAGCAAUAGAUGAAUCAUCUUUUUAAGCUAAUGCUUACUCACAAACCAAAUAUAACUCGGUUUUGGUAUUCCUACUCAGUUUUGUAAGUGAUUCUGGUUGGUCAUCACUUUGGCUGGGUAUGCAUAUCGUAUGCAAUGGAGAUAUUUUUAAACUAAAGUCGCGAACAUCAGAACUAGAAUGGCACAACGUAAUGAUGUGUUUAAAAAAAUCAGUAUGUGUGUUUGAUAUUGAUCAGCAGGUAAAGAAGGAUAUAUUGUCUUUUAUGAUUUUCUGUUUUAUUUUGUUGAUCAUUGGUAAAAAAAAUAGAUGUAUUAUGUAUCUUUUUUACUAUUUUAUAAAUGUAGGUACCCCAAGAACCGUUUGCGACUCUUUUUGUUAACUGUGAGCAGGUAAACAUUUUUAGGUACACUUUGUGACUCUCUUUGUUAAUCGUCCUCCGAUCAUGCCGAUUGGCCGUAGUGCUUAUGGGAUGGUGUGGUAUGUGUAUAUUUUUGUGACUGUGAUCAGUUUGAUGCUGAACUCAGAGACGAAUGAGAUGCUUGCUUUGAAGAAGAGUGCGUAUGCUUUCGAUAAUUGUGUGGAUGCGAAGCGGACGCUUCAUGAGAUUAAGCUUCUUCCAUAUUUGCAUCAUGAGAAUGUGAGUUUUGCUUUGAUGUGAACAUGUUUGUUUAAUAGAUUUAUGCAGGAUUGUAGAUCUUUUUAUCAAAUGUGAAUUAGUAACCCAUGUUGCAUUGUAGAUUUAUAAUCCCCAUAAUUCUUUUGGAAAA